rnacentral:rRNA from 1 species
AUUGAACGCUGGCGGCAUGCUUUACACAUGCAAGUCGAACGGCAGCGCGGGCUUCGGCCUGGCGGCGAGUGGCGAACGGGUGAGUAAUGCAUCGGAACGUGCCCAGUAGUGGGGGAUAGCCCGGCGAAAGCCGGAUUAAUACCGCAUACGACCUGAGGGUAAGAGCGGGGGACCGAAAGGCCUCGCGCUAUUGGAGCGGCCGAUGUCGGAUUAGCUAGUUGGUGGGGUAAAGGCUUACCAAGGCGACGAUCCGUAGCUGGUCUGAGAGGACGACCAGCCACACUGGGACUGAGACACGGCCCAGACUCCUACGGGAGGCAGCAGUGGGGAAUUUUGGACAAUGGGGGCAACCCUGAUCCAGCCAUGCCGCGUGCGGGAAGAAGGCCUUCGGGUUGUAAACCGCUUUUGUUCGGGAAGAAAUCCUCUGGGCUAAUACCCCGGGGGGAUGACGGUACCGGAAGAAUAAGCACCGGCUAACUACGUG